rnacentral:rRNA from 1 species
GACGAACGCUGGCGGCGCGCCUAACACAUGCAAGUCGAACGAGAGAUGAAGAGCUUGCUCUUCAAAUCGAGUGGCGAACGGGUGAGUAACGCGUGAGGAACCUGCCUCAAAGAGGGGGACAACAGUUGGAAACGACUGCUAAUACCGCAUAAGCCCACGGCUCGGCAUCGAGCAGAGGGAAAAGGAGCAAUCCGCUUUGAGAUGGCCUCGCGUCCGAUUAGCUAGUUGGUGAGGUAACGGCCCACCAAGGCGACGAUCGGUAGCCGGACUGAGAGGUUGAACGGCCACAUUGGGACUGAGACACGGCCCAGACUCCUACGGGAGGCAGCAGUGGGGAAUAUUGCACAAUGGGGGAAACCCUGAUGCAGCGACGCCGCGUGGAGGAAGAAGGUCUUCGGAUUGUAAACUCCUGU